rnacentral:rRNA from 1 species
UAGGGAAUCUUCCGCAAUGGGCGAAAGCCUGACGGAGCAACGCCGCGUGAGUGAUGAAGGUCUUCGGAUCGUAAAACUCUGUUAUUAGGGAAGAAUAAAUGUGUAAGUAACUAUGCACGUCUUGACGGUACCUAAUCAGAAAGCCACGGCUAACUACGUGCCAGCAGCCGCGGUAAUACGUAGGUGGCAAGCGUUAUCCGGAAUUAUUGGGCGUAAAGCGCGCGUAGGCGGUUUUUUAAGUCUGAUGUGAAAGCCCACGGCUCAACCGUGGAGGGUCAUUGGAAACUGGAAAACUUGAGUGCAGAAGAGGAAAGUGGAAUUCCAUGUGUAGCGGUGAAAUGCGCAGAGAUAUGGAGGAACACCGGUGGCGAAAGCGGCUCUCUGGUCUGUAACUGACGCUGAGGCUCGAAAGCGUGGGGAGCGAACAGG